UUGGACUUCCUCAUUGUCCUGGUCUGCCUCAUCUUCAGCGUGCUGUCCACCAUCGAGCAGUAUGUUGCCCUGGCCACAGGGACCCUCUUCUGGAUGGAGAUCGUCCUGGUCGUGUUCUUCGGGACGGAGUAUGUGGUCCGCCUCUGGUCGGCUGGCUGCCGCAGCAAGUACGUGGGCAUCUGGGGCCGGCUGCGCUUUGCCCGGAAGCCCAUUUCCAUCAUUGACCUCAUCGUGGUGGUGGCCUCCAUGGUGGUCCUCUGCGUGGGCUCCAAAGGGCAGGUGUUUGCCACCUCGGCCAUCAGGGGCAUCCGCUUCCUGCAGAUCCUGCGGAUGCUGCACGUCGACCGCCAGGGGGGCACCUGGAGGCUGCUGGGCUCCGUGGUCUUCAUCCACCGCCAGGAGCUCAUCACCACCCUGUACAUCGGCUUCCUGGGCCUCAUCUUCUCAUCCUACUUCGUGUACCUGGCCGAGAAGGAUGCUGUCAACGAGUCGGGCCAGGUUGAGUUCGGCAGCUACGCGGAUGCCCUGUGGUGGGGAGUGGUCACGGUCACCACCAUCGGCUACGGGGACAAGGUGCCGCAGACGUGGGUGGGGAAGACCAUCGCCUCCUGCUUCUCCGUCUUCGCCAUCUCCUUCUUUGCGCUCCCGGCGGGGAUUCUCGGCUCCGGCUUCGCCCUGAAGGUCCAGCAGAAGCAGAGACAGAAGCACUUCAACAGGCAGAUCCCGGCGGCAGCCUCGCUCAUCCAGACAGCCUGGCGGUGCUACGCAGCGGAGAACCCAGAUUCCUCCACCUGGAAGAUCUAUGUCCGGAAGCCAUCCCGGAACCACGCCCUGCUGUCCCCCAGCCCCAAGCCCAAGAAGUCAGCCAUGGUAAAGAAGAAAAAGUUCAAACUGGACAAGGACAAUGGUGUGAGCCCAGGAGAGAAGGCACUUUCGGUCCCCCACAUCACCUGCGAGCCCGUGUUGGAGGACCGCAGGCCCGAACCCAUCUCGGUAGACGGCUACGACAGCGCUGUGAAAAAGAGUCCCACGCUGCUGGAAGUGAGCACGGCCCAUUUCAUGAGAACCAACAGCUUUGCUGAGGACCUGGACCUGGAUGGGGAGGCGCUGCUGACCCCCAUCACCCACGUGUCACAGCUGCGAGAGCACCACCGGGCCACCAUCAAGGUCAUCCGGCGCAUGCAGUACUUCGUGGCCAAGAAGAAAUUCCAGCAAGCGCGGAAGCCCUACGACGUGCGAGACGUCAUCGAGCAGUACUCCCAGGGCCACCUCAACCUCAUGGUGCGCAUCAAGGAGCUGCAGAGGAGGCUGGACCAGUCCAUCGGGAAGCCCUCCCUCUUCAUCUCCGUCUCAGAGAAGACGAAGGACCGUGGCAGCAACUCGAUCGGCGCCCGCCUGAACCGCGUGGAGGACAAGGUGACUCAGCUGGACCAGAGGCUGGCGCUCAUCACAGACAUGCUGCACCAGCUGCUCGCACUGCGCCAUGGAGGCCCCCCCGGGGGCCAGCCCUCCAGCGCGGUGGGGGCGCAGGCCGUCCAGCCCUCGGGCGGCAGCUCCAUCAACCCCGAGCUCUUCCUGCCCAGCAACGCGCUGCCCACCUACGAACAGCUGACCGUGCCCCACGGGGGGCCCGACGAGGGUUCGUGA
rnacentral:lncRNA from 1 species